CACUCACACUGAGAGCUAAUUUAAAAGCUCAUGUUCAAUUGACACACAUGUUUUGCAUUUUGUUAAGCACCAUUAAAAAUCACAGAGGAAACAAACUCUAUUUGAAAAGGAAACAGGGCUCAGCUGUGAUUGAGCAGUGGUUUGUUUAAAGUUAACAAGCAAGGAAGGUCACACAGUUUCACUUUCUUUCAGGACAUGGAGAUACAGAAUGAAAAAGAUGAAGGUAGACCAGGUCAGAGGAGGUCAAAAAAAUCACAGCAUACUGUUGUAAGUUGCAACAGUUUGUCUGUCUGCAGUUUGGUGCUAUGCAAGUAAGCAUAGCUGGAAUCAUCUCCCUGCUGUGACCGAAAACGAUGCUGAGAGUGGAGAGACUGAACCAAGACAGUAAAGUUGCAGAUCAGAAAACUAAAACACUGAGCUGAGAGACACUACACAGCUCCAAAGAGCUGAGGAAAACUGCUGGGUGAUCAUUGUCUGUGGGCUCGUCAGAGUAUGUCUGUUGAUGGGAACAUGACACCUACAUGAAAUAUUAUGUUGUUAUGUUAGUACUUGAUUGGGCAUAAUCACCAAAACUACUCGAGGCACUGACCAAUUUGUUAUUUUUUUGUACUAUUCUUCUUGUCACCAUGCUCUCAGAUGACUUAUUAUCAUAAUUUCAACCCAGACUUGUCUGAACGGGUCACAGCCAACGUUUUCCCCUGUAUGUUCAUACAUAUAUAUGUGUGCAUCUCACUAUCUCUCAGCUGAGAUCCAGUCUGUGUGACCUGCCUCAUCGUUCUGUCAGUGCGCAGCAGAAUAAUGAGAUGUAAUGCGCCUCUCAAGCUUAGUAUCCGUUUUUCCCUUUUUUUCCCCCUCCCUCGCUUGAUAUACCAGAUUUAAGUGUGCCCCUGGCGGCUGUUAGAGCGGAUUGUGUGGUUGACUUUAGUAGAGGAUGAUUUUACAGACAGACUAGCUUUAGCCAUCAGAGGGUAAGAUAGAAACUAAAGGAGCGGAAAGAGAAAUAAUUUGUAUCAUGAGUCAUCUGAAAUAAAGAGCAGCGAUGAGUGACACAUGAAAAAGGAAGAUGUGGAAGAGAGAGGAAAGAUAAUGAGGCAGGAAAUGCUCAUUUUAAUUCCCGCCGUGAGCACUUAGGAGGAAAGAGACAUCAUAAGAGUGGGGAGUGAGGGAAUGAAUGGAAAGGAGAGAAGAGACGAUGGCUUAAAGUAAGAAUAGAGAGGGAAGAGGAGGCGUUAAGGAGGAGGAUGUUUGACAGAAAAGUAUUAAUAGUAGAGAAUGGGAGAGAAUUAGUAAAGUAGAGGAAGGACACAUGAGUAUAUGACAAGGGUACAGGAAAGACGGCAAUGAUAACUCACACUUCUAUGCUUUAUACGGAUGAUUUUUAUGGUAAAAUCAUUGAGAAGUUUAAACAUUUCAUUUAACAAUAUCUACAAACUCAAAAUAUUGUUUACACUUUGUUUUACUUGUUGUAUUUUGGCAUUAAGACACAUUAAAUUAGAAAAGCUCAUUAGUCUUCACUGCGUCAUAACUACUACCAGCAACCAUCCAGGCACAUAAUCACAAUAAUUACACUCCAAACUGAGUGUGUUUGUGGUCUUUGUUUGGUCGGUCAGUGCUUAGGUGUCCACUGUCCAACACAGUUUACCCCAUUCAACUCCCUUGCUGUCCAAUCAGCAGCCAGUUUCUGCAUGGACCUACAAUACCAACCAAUGUGUGUACUCUGCAAUCACAAGUUUUUUUUUUAAACUGACUCAGUCGACUCCAAAGAGAAGAACGCAUAUAAACAUGUGCAUCUGUUAUUAUGGAUGAUUAAAGACGAUCUCCAGCAAUCUCCAACAAUGCAGUUAUUCCCUCUAUCUUACUACUGAAGACCUGUCUGCACAGCCACACGGAAGUGAACUAUAAAAUGUCCGCCUUCAGAUGGCUGUUAUCAACCCAGUAUCUCCAGCAACUCAGCCACCCAGGCAGGAGAGACCCACAUCAUCAAUCUUCAUAGAAGAAGGACUGUAAAUAACAGCUUGACAACCACAGAAUAACCUGAGAGAAAAUUGGGACUUCAGUCUGAUCCACUUUACUGGAUUAUAAGAAAAAUGUGUGCAUGGAGAUACAGCUGUGUCAGGAUGAUCGUGUUCUACACCAUCAUACAAAAUGGAUUUGCAUGAAGAGUGACUCUAGUCUGUGGAACAACAGCCUUUGGCGACAACAGUUUGGAUUUGGUUGCUCAUCUAACAAUACAGAUCUCUUCUUUUCCAAUACCAGGGUGGUACUGGGUUAGUAGGAUAUUUAGGGAAUGUGAAACAGCUCAAAUGAAUCCACAUAAACAUUUCACAGAAGACAAUAAAAAUAAGUUGGACUGAAACUGUGACACAACCUUUAAAGUGCAACUUUUUAACAGUACAACCACAAAGUCAAUUCUUGCUUGUUUCUUUCAAAUGUCAUGACUCGCCGAGGACUUUGGUGAUGCAUUUAUAUUUAUAAGGUAUGCUGUGGUUACUCAGAGACUUCACUGUGGAUGCUAAAGCCAACAAUGUCAAAGUGAACAUGUUACAGAUGGACCGCUGUGCAAAUAUGAAACAGAAACAGUAUGAUCAUAACCAUCUGCAGCACUGUUUGGUUAGCAGGAGGGGCAGCAAUGUGUCACUUUACUUGACAUGCAUGGCUACCAGCAGAUUUCUCUCUUUCUAACUCUUUGUCUCGUCACAAAUAUCAUUUCAAGUAAAACAAUUUUAGGGGUUUGGCACUAUUUGUUUUUUUUCUAUGUCUUAGUUUAAUUGAGGACUUCUUCUCUUUCUAUCGUUCAAAUCAUGCCUCAUCUUCAAAGGACGUUUUGUAAAGGUGGACCUUUAUACUGUAUGGCAUUGAGGCUUCUGUAAUAUAAUUUCAUUAAAGAAUGUGAACUCUG